UCUUGACAUCCACGGAAGUUUUCAGAGAUGAGAAUGUGCCUUCGGGAACCGUGAGACAGGUGCUGCAUGGCUGUCGUCAGCUCGUGUUGUGAAAUGUUGGGUUAAGUCCCGCAACGAGCGCAACCCUUAUCCUUUGUUGCCAGCGGUUAGGCCGGGAACUCAAAGGAGACUGCCAGUGAUAAACUGGAGGAAGGUGGGGAUGACGUCAAGUCAUCAUGGCCCUUACGACCAGGGCUACACACGUGCUACAAUGGCGCAUACAAAGAGAAGCGACCUCGCGAGAGCAAGCGGACCUCAUAAAGUGCGUCGUAGUCCGGAUUGGAGUCUGCAACUCGACUCCAUGAAGUCGGAAUCGCUAGUAAUCGUGGAUCAGAAUGCCACGGUGAAUACGUUCCCGGGCCUUGUACACACCGCCCGUCACACCAUGGGAGUGGGUUGCAAAAGAAGUAGGUAGCUUAACCUUCGGGAGGGCGCUUACCACUUUGUGAUUCAUGACUGGGGUGAAGUCGUAACAAGGUAACCGUAGGGGAACCUGC
rnacentral:rRNA from 1 species